rnacentral:lncRNA from 1 species
GAGGUAGCGAGAGCGAGGUAGCGAGAGCGAGGUAGCGAGAGCGAGGUAGCGAGAGCGAGGUAGCGAGAGAGAGAGAUUGUAAGUGGUUUAGAAGACGACCCGGCUGAGCAGAAGGACAACUGUCAUGGGAUUAAUGUGAACCCUUCUGCGGCUCUUCAUGGAGGGGUCCUGGCCUGGCCUGUGGAGAUGAGCCAAUAGGCAACUAUAUAAGGACCAGGGUUUAUGCUGAUGAAACUCAUCUGCUCCAAGAGGAAAAGGCUUGAAGAUGAUGCUUGUCUGACAUGGAAAAAUAGGAGAUACAAAACCAGGCUGCGGCGCUCCUCCUUUACCAUGAACUGAACCUCCUACACAUCGAUCUGCAGGAGAAACAGAG